UACAAAUGCUCGUAGUAGUAAAUUCAUCAAGCUUUAGUUUUCACAGCUUUGGUUUUAGUUCUUUAAAUAUUUUCCAGAAUCACUCUUACAACAGCUUACAGUCAGCUGUUUCUAUUCUUAAAACCACUACACCAAGAAAAUCCACCAGGAAAUAUAGGUAUGUAUUCAUUUGAGAUCUGAAUUUAAAAAAGAAGAAGCUUUACAAGAUGAGCUGCGAGCAGAGGAAGAAGGUGAGGAAGAGGAGGUGUGAUGUAUGGCUCCACCUCUGAUACCAGAUUUCAGUCUGCCUUUAUGCUGUCAUUGCAAAUUUAAGAUGAAAACAAUUGUGAAUUUAUUUGUCACUGUUGCACAGACCUUGAUUUAAGUUUCCAGGAUGCCUCCAGCUUUAUACACGUUUGGAUUUUUACUGCUUGUGCUCACACGAAAAGUGGAGAGCGUAACCUUUGAACAGUCCUCUUCUCAAGUAGUGAAGGAAGGGACUGAGGAGCUCACGAUCGACUGCAGCCAUGAUGACAGCAGCCUUAGUACGAUGCUGUGGUACCAGCACCGACAGAGCGGUCGGUCUAUGAGCCUCAUCGGGUACACGGUCCUCCAGGGUACACCGGACUACGAGGAGCAGUUUAAAACCCCCAGGUUCCAGAUUAAAGGAGGCACAAAGAGAGGAUCUCUGAUCAUUCACAAAGUGAAUUCAUCAGACUCAGCUGUGUAUUUCUGCGCUGCUAGUACACAGUGAUGUGGUUUAAUACAACUGCUUCACUAAAACCUCCUACCACUUACAACAGCUGCUGCUCAGGGUGUCACAGUGCUCUUGAGCAGGAACUUUUAGUUGCUGUCAGUGUCCACUAGGAGACUGUGGCUGCACUGAGAAACUCCCUCAGACUUUCUUAUUUCAUACGUUUAGACUGCAGCAGCACAGUAAGGUCCACCUGAAGACACAGUUGUGAUUGUAUGUAGUUUUUUACUGUCAAAAUGAAGCUGCUCUUCGUUGCCGUUCUCAUUUUCACCCGUAAGAACAUUUAAAUUCAGUUGAAAUUAAAGUUUUGUUCGUAUUAUUCCUUGUUGAAGUUGUUAAUUCACUUCUUGUUUUCCAGAUUCCUCCAUUGGUGUAAAAAUCGACCAGCCUCCCUCUAUAAUCAGCCGUGAAGGAGAGCCGUCUGUAACUAUGCAGUGUGAACAAGAUGAUAGUGACUAUUACUACAUGUACUGGUACAGACAGAGCAGCAG